rnacentral:lncRNA from 1 species
UAGACUCAGAGUGGUGGAUCUUUUGCACCCCCAGCAGGAAACCCUCAGCAGGGCCAACAGUCCUGACCUCUGCCAGCCCUUCCAGCAAUCCACAGAACAUCUCAUCCAUUCUUCCUUCUCAUCCACCAAGAAGGCCACAGCACCCUCCUCAUGCAGUGUGGUGAAAGGUGUCGUACAGUGUGCAGAGUGAAUCGUGAUAGCCCCAGCCCAGUGGACCCAGCCCUGUCCUACACCAGUGGGGCCCAGCUCAUAGCCAUUCCUGGCUUUCAGUCAACCUGGGCUCCUGCUCUGGACAUCGACAUUGAGUACCUGUGCUAACAAAUGUGCAGGAGCCCAGGACAGACACGCAGAAAGACAGACACAUGAAGCUGAGUGGAUUUUUAAAUUAGCAGCCAUAGAAGGCAUCAUGCACUCUCUGGAUCCAAGAGAGGUGGUUUCUGCCAAGCACACUUGGGCCCAGGGACCUGAGCUGCUGGCCCCUUUCCUGUCAUGCAGAGGAGCAAGUAGAGCCCUGCACCCCACUGGCUUUCCUCCAGCCCUCACCUCGCCUACAGACAGUUUUCUGGGCUUUCGACAAGAAGGAGCUGCCUUCUGCUUAUGAGCUGCAAGCUCCCUGUGGAGAAUGUCA